rnacentral:sRNA from 1 species
ACCAAGCCCUGCAUGAAGGAUGGAAGCGGCAUCCUUUUUAUACCUUUUAGGCUAGUAGCCUAAAAGGCAUAAAAAGAUAUAGCGAACAGCCUGACGCAGC